AGAGGGGAGCAAGCGUUGUUCGGAAUCACUGGGCGUAAAGGGCGCGUAGGCGGGCUGGGGUCAGUUUCGUGUGAAAUCCCUCGGGCUCAACUGAGGAACUGCACGGAAUACUGCCCCCGGCUUGAGUUCGGGAGAGGGAAGCGGAAUUCCGGGUGUAGCGGUGAAAUGCGCAGAUAUCCGGAGGAACACCAGUGGCGAAGGCGGCUUCCUGGACCGUGACUGACGCUGAGGCGCGAAAGCUAGGGGAGCGAACGGGAUUAGAUACCCCGGUAGUCCUAGCCGUAAACGAUGAGUGCUGGGUGUAGGGGGUAUUGACCCCCCCUGUGCCGAAGCUAACGCAUUAAGCACUCCGCCUGGGGAGUACGGUCGCAAAGGCUGA
rnacentral:rRNA from 1 species